CCAGACUCCUACGGGAGGCAGCAGUGGGGAAUAUUGCACAAUGGGCGAAGGCCUGAUGCAGCAACGCCGCGUGAAGGAAGAAGGGUUUCGGCUCGUAAACUUCUAUCAACAGGGACGAAAGAAAUGACGGUACCUGAAUAAGAAGCCCCGGCUAACUACGUGCCAGCAGCCGCGGUAAUACGUAGGGGGCAAGCGUUAUCCGGAAUUACUGGGCGUAAAGGGAGCGUAGGCGGCCUGCCAAGUCUGAUGUGAAAUACCGGGGCUCAACCCCGGGGCUGCAUUGGAAACUGGCAGGCUGGAGUGCCGGAGAGGCAGGCGGAAUUCCUAGUGUAGCGGUGAAAUGCGUAGAUAUUAGGAGGAACACCAGUGGCGAAGGCGGCCUGCUGGACGGUGACUGACGCUGAGGCUCGAAAGCGUGGGGAGCAAACAGGAUUAGAUACCCCAGUAAA
rnacentral:rRNA from 1 species